AGAUGACUUGAUUUGCUCGCAGAAAAAAGACUGGAGUGAGGACGGAGCUCCAGGAGCUGCCAAGGCGCUGAGCUGUAGAGCCGCCUGGGCGUGAACUGGGUUAUCUUCAAGACGAGGGGGAGUCUGGACACGUCCCCAGCGCUGAGGAAGUGCUACUGUGAAGUUUUAAUGCUGUCAUUUUGAUUACUUAACAGCUGAGUGUAAGCUGUGAGGUUCAUUGGCCUUUUGUAGAAAAGGAAUAUUUUCCUGAGGCUAAUAGGCUCAGAUUUUCUGCAACAUACUGACCUUCACGGAUCCGAUUAAAAGCACCACCUCCACCUCCACCUCAGAGGCAUCAGGUGCCACCAAUACUUAAUUAAGAUUAUCAGGCCUUAACGUCUGUGCUGUGAGCUGGGCCGUUUCUGAGCUUUCCUUACAACUGCUUUGGGAUCCAGCAUGCUAAGCUCUGAUCCUUCAACAUCCAAAGCUUUUGCACAUCCUGUUAUCCUGACCUGAGAUGCUCUUGAGACGUCUGGCUCCUUCUCAUAUUGACAGUCUUAUCUCAAAUGGCUACUCUUCAGAGAGAUCACUGACCAACGCUAUAAGGAGGAAUCUCUCCACUGAGCUCAAUUGUUUUCCAUUGCCUAUCUCAACUGAACAAUGGGAGAGAGGAUUUCUCCACGCAAUGGUCCAUGUGUAUACAGAGGAAAAUACAAACUCACCGGAGCUAUGAACUGUAGUAGCAGAAGCAACCAUACCAGCUCUGGAAUUUGGAUUGAAAAAAGAGAGUCACAAAGGAUUAGAAUGAGAACCUACUGUGGCCACCAGAUUCCUUAUCUCUCAUUGCUCACCAUUUCCUCAGCAUGAUGGGACAGGCCAAGGAGCUCUCUUGGUUGCAACCGGAAGGAUAUUGGAAGCUGUGAAGUUUAGCAUCCUUUUACAGCAAAAAAUUCAAGGAAUCAAUUCCAAGUGACCACAGUCAGGCAAAUAAGCCUACGCUGCACUUUUAGGGUAUCAUUGGCGGGCUCCUCAACUGCCUCUUAAUCUUCUGGCUCUGAUGGUGUCUGGCUGUGACUGAAUUCAGAGCUACCACGGCAGUAUUGCAGAGGAUAAGCUGCUGAAGGAGAGUCUGGCAAGAUUCCCUCUCAGGGGAGAUGAUAAUAAGACCCCAGGACCAUGCCAGAGAGCCCUCAGCAGAGCGAAUACUGGCUGUUAAUCGAGCCCUCUCCUUAAGCUUCCUCCUCCUCCUGCCCUCUUUGCAAAAAUUGGCUGGGUUCAUUGUGCAUACUGUCUCUCCAUGACAAUGUCUUUCCCUUGGAUGGUAAUUAUUUUUUAACAGGUUGAGGCAACUACAUAGUCAUUUGUGUCUGGGGAUAAGUAUUGUGGCCUAUUUUCAGUACAUUUCUCUUUUCCUAUAAUUGUCACACUCUUUAAUGAGGCUUGAAACACUCAAUUUCCUGACCUCUGUCUCAAAGACUUUGAUGUUUUGUGCCUGACAAGACAGUGUGAACCUCCUAAGAAUGAAAGGUAGAGUUCUGGUGACUGCUUCCAGCCCCCCAAAUAUUUUGUCUCUAAGCUCUAGCACUGCUGUUACAUUUCCUUCAGCAAAUACGCUCUCCUUUGAAUCCUUCUUGUAGCCUAUAGUCAAUUCCAAAGUUUCAGUUAAAUGAUCUUUUUGGGAGGGUGAAUCAAAGCCCUCAAGUAAAUCUAGAAAGUUAGAAAUCUAAGACCAGUUCAGCAACCAAGAAUCUGUUUAUAAGUUGAAAAUAAACCAACUGCAGAAGCACCUUACUUAUUUCUGUCAGCCGGAAUUAUUAGGAUCUCUUUCCCUGUGUUUGUCUGUUUUUCCCAUUUUCAGAUACUUUCAGUGCCUAGGACAAAGCUUUGCACACAGAAAGGACUUAGGGAAUAGUCCUUUAGCUUAGAAUGGGUGGAUGGAUGGAUGGAUGGAUGGAUGGGUGGGUGGAUGGAUGAAUGAAGAAAUAAGCUAUUUGGCAUACUGUCGAGAACCAGACUGGAAUUCAAAGAAGAAACUUUAUGGCACAAAUAUGUAUGCACUGUCCAUAUAUAUAUAUAUAGUAUAAUUCUGUUUGCCUGAAACAGUACUGGUUUACACCUUUGAUAUAUUUAUUAAUAGCAUCUUCAUUCACCUUCAAAUUUAUUGGACAGUAAAUAUAAAGUUGACGUAUUUAUACGUGAUGUUUACAGGUCCUUUAUUAAGAGCUAUUUACUCUUGUAUUUAAUUCAAAUAAUCUUGGCUAUCUGUUAUAUUUUGCAAUACAUUAGUGUAUUUUAAAUGGCCAUUGAUGGGUAGAGAGGCUUACCCUACCUCUUAAAGGAAGUCUCUUCAAGUUAGCGCUGUUUUAUAGCAUAGGUGAAGUUCAUUCUACAAGGCAGGGAAUUAAGAGAUGGAUUUAAAACAAUUUUAAUCAAAAUUAUUGCAAUUCAAAAAAGUGUUGGAGUUUCACUUAUUUGAAAAAAAUAACUCAUCCUCAUAUAUACUUAGGAAAAUUAAGUAUUACUAUAAUAAGUAACGUCUAUUCCCAGCUACUGCGUAUGCCAUAUGUUGAAGGUGGAAAUGUAGAAAAUACAGUUAAGGUCUUCACUUUUGAGGAUAUUGUAACAGAUAAUAAAACCGUGAUUAAUCACACUCCAGAUUCUAAAAAUCAUAAUUAUUUUUUCUCUUUUACUGCCUUUUAAGGGAAAGAGAUGUGCCACUUGAAAACAAAUUGGUAUCAUAAAUUUAGUUUAUAAAAGAAGAAAAAUGGGCUGGCCCGGUGGUGUAGUGGUUAAGGUUGCAUGCUCCGUUUGGUGGCCCAGAGUUCGCUGGUUUGGAUCUCAGGCAUAGACCUACACACCAUUCAUUAUGCCACGGUGGCAUCCCACAUGGAAGAACUAGAAGGAGUUAC
ensembl:lncRNA